GACGGGGGGCAAGUGUUCUUCGGAAUGACUGGGCGUAAAGGGCACGUAGGCGGUGAAUCGGGUUGAAAGUGAAAGUCGCCAAGAAGUGGCGGAAUGCUCUCGAAACCAAUUCACUUGAGUGAGACAGAGGAGAGUGGAAUUUUGUGUGUAGGGGUGAAAUCCGUAGAUCUACGAAGGAACGCCAAAAGCGAAGGCAGCUCUCUGGGUCCCUACCAACGCUGGGGUGCGAAAGCAUGGGGAGCGAACAGG
rnacentral:rRNA from 1 species